GAUGAACGCUUGCGGCGCGCCUAAAACAUGCAAGUCGAACGGACCUCGAGUUCUUCGGAGUUUGAGGUUAGUGGCGAACGGGUGAGUAACACGUGGGUGACCUGCCCCGAAGUGGGGGAUAACCACUCGAAAGAGUGGCUAAUACCGCAUAUACUUGAUGAUUCGUUUCAUCAAGGAAAGUUCCGGCGCUUUGGGAGGGGCUCGCGGCCGAUUAGCUAGUUGGUGGGGUAAUGGCUCACCAAGGCUAUGAUCGGUAGCUGGUCUGAGAGGAUGAUCAGCCACACUGGCACUGAGACACGGGCCAGACUCCUACGGGAGGCAGCAGUUAGGAAUAUUGCGCAAUGGACGAAAGUCUGACGCAGCGACGCCGCGUGGGUGAUGAAGGCCUUCGGGUCGUAAAACCCUUUUCUGGGGGAAGAGGACGGACGG
rnacentral:rRNA from 1 species